CAUAGGAGAUCUCUCAUUUUCUCAGCAAAGUCUGGCAGGAAAGUUUUUCUUCCUUUUCUUCUUUCUUCUGUUUUUUUUUCUUCUGCAGAGGAAGGAGUUUGGGAUUUGUGGAGCAAAUUCUCUGGAUCUUCCCCCUCAUCAUCACAGAAAAAGGAGAUGGGUAGCAGUUAUUUUGGGGAACCAAACAUGGGAAAUGAAAGAUCUGGGUCUUCAAGGAAAGGCAAGAAGAGUAAUUCAGACAAGCCCAAGCAGCCCCAGAGAGGGCUGGGAGUUGCUCAGUUGGAGAAGAUCAGAUUGCAUAGUCAAAUGGGUUGUAGCUACAUGCCUUCUCUUCAUGGUCCAUAUCCACUACCCUCAACCAGGAGGACAUGAGAGUGCAAACAGCCUAUUCAUCAGUACCAUCAUCGUCAUCUUUUUCUUAUUCACCAUCCUCAUCAUCCACGGCAUCUUAUGGUUUCCACCCCAAUAUGAUGAUGGGUCUGAGUGAAAUGGAUAGGUCAAAUAUUAGAUAUGGUGAUUCUCAACCUAGUACUACAGCGAGGUGGAACCCCGGCAAUGGUACUGAAACGGAAAUUAAUUUAUGGGUUUUUUUUCCCCCUCUUCUUGGAAUUCUAUUCUAUUAAGAAAAUGCUGAAUUUCCAAUGGAUAUAUGGAAUUCAUCAAAACCAGGUGGAACCCCAGCAGUGGCACAAUGGAGACCCAACAGUAUUCACAAUUGAACAUGACAAGACACCUUCUGAAUCUAGAAGUAGAGGACUCAUUUCAGAAGAAGAGAAAGAAAGACCGGAGCGAUUCAUUGGGCUCAAGCAGUCAGAACUCUGAAUCAAGUGACACUCAAGAACUAGACUUGGAGCUCAGACUGUCGCUUUAAUCAGCUAUUCACAGCCAUUCAGAUGCAUGGAUUGAUAUAUUUUAUGAUUCUACUUACAAUUCAAAAGUUCGAUAUAAUUGGUGGGAUUUGCAGAAUGGCACUAGUCGAGCAACUUGAGUUAUAUUUUAGAAGGAAUCUUGUGUAAUGAAAGGUAGAUUGACUCUUCAUAAAAGAUUAAUGCAAUUUUCUACUUGGGUCAUUUCAUGACUAUGGAGGAAAUGAGAAUGUCUUGUUUACUUUCAAUUUCUUA